AGAGUUUGAUCCUGGCUCAGGACGAACGCUGGCGGCGUGCUUAACACAUGCAAGUCGAACGGUCUACCUCGACAGAAGCCUUCGGGCGGAAGACGAGACUAGAUAGUGGCGGACGGGUGAGUAACACGUGAAUAAUCUGUCCUCAAGUCCGGGAUAACCUGGCGAAAGUCGGGCUAAUCCGAGGUAAGCUGAGAGUGUGGCAUCACACAAUCAGAAAAGGUGGCUUCUGCCAUCGUUUGAGGAGGAGUUCGCGGUAGAUUAGCUAGCUGGUGAGGUAAUGGCUCACCAGGGCAACAAUCUAUAGCUGGUCUGAGAGGACGAUCAGUCACACUGGAACUGAGACACGGUCCAGACUCCUACGGGAGGCAGCAGUGGGGAAUCUUCCACAAUGGGCGAAAGCCUGAUGGAGCAACGCCGCGUGAGUGAAGAAGGUCUUCGGAUUGUAAAGCUCUGUCCUUAGGGAAGAACCGUGGGUAUAGAAAAUGAUACCCACCUGACGGUACCUUUGGAGGAAGCACUGGCUAACUACGUGCCAGCAGCCGCGGUAAUACGUAGAGUGCAAGCGUUGUCCGGAAUUAUUGGGCGUAAAGGGUACGCAGGCGGAUAAUCAAGUCAAGCGUGAAAGGUGUCGGCUUAACCGACAGACUGCGUUUGAAACUGGUUAUCUUGAGUGUAACAGAGGAGAGUGGAAUUCCUAGUGUAGUGGUGAAAUACGUAGACAUUAGGAAGAACACCAGUGGCGAAGGCGACUCUCUGGGUUAACACUGACGCUGANGUACGAAAGCUGGGGGAGCGAACGGGAUUANAUACCCCGGUAGUCCCAGCCGU
rnacentral:rRNA from 1 species